rnacentral:lncRNA from 1 species
GAAGUUUGCCCAUCUGAAGCAUGGCACCAAAGCGGGCAGCAACACCAACACAUCUCAAUGUCAACUCAGGCUGUUCUGUCAAAAUGAUGAAGAUAGGCAUGGAUCAUUGUCUUGAGGAUUUUGGUGAAGUAGUAGAAGAGGAGAAGUAUAGAAUACCAGACGAUGGAUAUUCACCCUUAGAGGGUGAACCAAUCACCUUUGAGGUGGAAGAUGAUCAAAGUCCUGGAAUGAGAACCGACACCAUAAGUCUCCUGAUGAAGAUUGACCAGCUUCAAGCAGAGCUGAAAUAUGAGCGCAGAUGUAGACAGCUGGCUGAGAGGGAACUGAAACAGUUGAAAGAGAUGAAUGACCUGAUGACCCAGAUGAGACACACAGCCCAUGACCUGAGGACUGUUCUGGAGCACGCCCGAGGGCAGCAGGGGAACGAUAUGAAUGACAUGGUGAACGAAGUUGUCUCCCCACAGAGCUUUGAGGGGAGCAUCUCCUAUAACAGCUUGCCAGUUCAGGUGUCGCAAGAGGUAGAGGAUGCUAACUACAUCCAUCUCCCCGGUGGCCUGAGAGUACCAAGGAAACUGUACAAGGGUGUCUCGGAGAUCAAGGACUUCAAGAAGUACAUUUCAGCCAUGCUGCUGGUCCUGUUUGACAGGGAGACACUGGGCACGCACAGUCUGCAGGGCAGGAGGUGUAACAUCGCCAAAGAGGAAACCCAGAAACCUCAGCUUCCCCCUGAAAUCAUGAAAAGUCUUCUAGAUCACGUGAGGAUCAAGUUUGGUGUAGAUUACAGUGCAAUCCGAGCUGCCAUCAGAAUAAAGUUGAACAAUGAAGACAAAAUGUUGAAGAAGAGACUUGUUAAGUCACCAGACAAAAUAAAAAGUAACCAAAUACCAGGAUAA